ensembl:Y_RNA Y_RNA Y RNA
GGCUGGCUGGGGUGCAGUGGUGUUUACAACUAAUUGAUCACAAUCAGUUACCAAUUCCUUUGUUUCUGUUCCACUCUCACUGCUUCACUUGACUAGCCUGUA